UUUCCAGACUCCUACGGGAGGCAGCAGUGGGGGAUAUUGCACAAUGGGGGGAACCCUGAUGCAGCGACGCCGCGUGGGUGAAGGAGCGUUUCGGCGCGUAAAGCCCUAUCGGCAGGGAAGAAGGAGGACGGUACCUGACUAAGAAGCCCCGGCUAACUACGUGCCAGCCGCCGCGGUAAUACGUAGGGGGCAAGCGUUAUCCGGAUUUACUGGGUGUAAAGGGAGCGUAGACGGCAGUGCAAGUCUGAAGUGAAAGGCGGGGGCCCAACCCCCGGACUGCUUUGGAAACUGUGCUGCUGGAGUGCAGGAGAGGCAAGUGGAAUUCCUAGUGUAGCGGUGAAAUGCGUAGAUAUUAGGAGGAACACCAGUGGCGAAGGCGGCUUGCUGGACUGUAAUUGACGUUGAGGCUCGAAAGCGUGGGGAGCAAACAGGAUUAGAUACCCGCGUAGA
rnacentral:rRNA from 1 species